ACGGGUGAGUAACGCGUGGGAAUCUACCCAUCUCUACGGAACAACUCCGGGAAACUGGAGCUAAUACCGUAUACGUCCUUCGGGAGAAAGAUUUAUCGGAGAUGGAUGAGCCCGCGUUGGAUUAGCUAGUUGGUGGGGUGAUGGCCUACCAAGGCGACGAUCCAUAGCUGGUCUGAGAGGAUGAUCAGCCACAUUGGGACUGAGACACGGCCCAAACUCCUACGGGAGGCAGCAGUGGGGAAUAUUGGACAAUGGGCGAAAGCCUGAUCCAGCCAUGCCGCGUGAGUGAUGAAGGCCCUAGGGUUGUAAAGCUCUUUCAACGGUGAAGAUAAUGACGGUAACCGUAGAAGAAGCCCCGGCUAACUUCGUGCCAGCAGCCGCGGUAAUAUGAAGGGGGCUAGCGUUGUUCGGAAUUACUGGGCGUAAAGCGCACGUAGGCGGAUUGUUAAGUUAGGGGUGAAAUCCCAGGGCUCAACCCUGGAACUGCCUUUAAUACUGGCAAUCUCGAGUCCGAGAGAGGUGAGUGGAAUUCCGAGUGUAGAGGUGAAAUUCGUAGA
rnacentral:rRNA from 1 species